rnacentral:rRNA from 1 species
GUGACCAGCGGAGGGAUCAUUAAAGAGUUCUAUAACUCCCAAACCCAUGUGAACAUACCUAACGUUGCCUCGGCAGGUCGCACCUACCUUGUAGCACCCUACCCUGUAGGGCCUACCCGGGAGGUGCGGGUAAGCCUGCCGGCGGCCCACCAAACUCUGUUUGAUAUUGAUUUCUGAACCUAUAACUAAAUAAGUUAAAACUUUCAACAACGGAUCUCUUGGUUCUGGCAUCGAUGAAGAACGCAGCGAAAUGCGAUAAGUAAUGUGAAUUGCAGAAUUCAGUGAAUCAUCGAAUCUUUGAACGCAUAUUGCGCCCAUUAGUAUUCUAGUGGGCAGGACCGUUCGAGCGUCAUUUCAACCCUUAAGCCUUCGUUGCUUAGUGUUGGGAGCCUACGGCAACGUAGCUCCUCAAAGUUAGUGGCGGAGUUGGUUCACACUCUAGACGUAGUAAUUUUUUAUCUCGCCUAUUAGUUGGACUAAUCCCCUGCCGUAAAACCCCCAAUUUAUCAAGGUUGACCUCGAAUCGGUUCAGACAAACUCGCUAAAUUGAAGCAUCUUAGUCAGCGAAGGAAAAGAAACCAACAGGGAUUGCCCUAGUAACGGCGAG